rnacentral:lncRNA from 1 species
GGAAGUGGUCAGUGGGGUGGUCAGUGGCCACCUUGGCCACUCAGCUGUCAUUACGGCGCAUCCAAACACCACCCAAACCUCCUCAUGGACUGACCACAACCCCUCCGGCCGCUCCGGCCGGGCUCAUUUAUUGACUGGUCACUCGUCCGAGCCGGCCGGACUGCCCAGGAAGAGGCCGGAGUAGCUGAAGGCCGGAGCGGAGCCUUCAUCUUCAUCCUCCUCCUCCUCCUCGUCCUCCUCAUCCUCCUCGUGGUCAUCGUGGUCAUCGUGGUCAUCGUCCUCCUCCUCCUCCUCCUCCUGCCGGACAGCGGCCGAGCGGUCAGCGCCGCCUCCCUCGGGCCUGCGGUCAUCUCCGGCCCGGCGCGGCCUCGAGCCGGACGCCGACCAGCGGUCACCUCUGGAGCCCGACGACCACCGGUCAUCGCUCGGGCCGGGUCUUCCUCCCGCUGACCACGCCGCUGACCACUGGUCAUCCUUCGGCUUUGGUGACCACGGCUCGUCCUUCACCGCCGCUGACCACCGGUCAUCCUUCGGCCCCGCCGACCACGGCUCGUCCUUCACCUUCACUGACCAUUGGUCAUCUUUUGCUGACCAUUGGUCACCUCUUGAGCCAUCUCCUUUUCCUCCAGCUGACCACUGGUCAUCCUUCGAUCUUCUUGACCACUGGUCAUCUUUUGACCUUGUUGACCAUUGGUCAUCUUUUGACCCCGUUGACCACUGGUCAUCUUUUGACCUUGUUGACCACUGGUCAUCCUUCGAUCUUCUUGACCAUUGGUCAUCUUUUGACCUUGUUGACCACUGGUCAUCCUUCGAUCCUGAUGUCCACUGGUCAUCCUUCGAUCUUCUUGACCAUUGGUCAUUUUUUGACCCCGCUGACCACUGGUCAUCUCUGGACCCCGCUGACCACUGCCCCUCCCUCGGGCCGCCCCUCCCUCCUCCCCUCCCCCUCCCCGCGGCCAUCCUGGCCCUCCGCGGCCUCCUGGCCGCCUCUCCGGCCACCUCUCCGGCCGCGGCGCCGCCGUGUCCGAGCAGCCGCCCCAGCAGGAAUCGCCGCUGGACUCUGGCCAGCGUCCACUUGGCCUCCAGCCGCGCCAGCUCGUCGCAGAGCGCCGCGUUCUCCAGCACCAGCGCCCGCGCCGCGCGGCGCAGCCGCCGGAAUCGCUGCCGGACGCGCUCGGCCGGGCGCGGCCGGCCCGCCUUGGCCAUCGUCCGGCCGGCGGGGAGACGCUGCGGGGAGGAGAAACGGGGAGAAUUUGGUUAAAAUCGGCGAAGAUGUCAUGAAAAUUGGACUAAAUGGACACAAAUUGGUCAAAAUUGGUUAAAAUUUGGCUUGGGUUGACCCAAGUUGACCCAAAUCGGCAAAAAUUAGCUAAAAUUGGUCAAAAUUGACCCAAAUUGGUCAAAAUUGACCCAAAUUUG